GNCCUCAAAUCAGGUAGGACUACCCGCUGAACUUAAGCAUAUCAAUAAGCGGAGGAAAAGAAACUAACAAGGAUUCCCCUAGUAACUGCGAGUGAAGCGGGAAAAGCUCAAAUUUAAAAGCUGGCAGUCUUUGAUUGUCCGCGUUGUAAUCUAGAGAAGUGUUACCCGCGUUGGACCGUGUACAAGUCUCCUGGAAUGGAGCGUCAUAGAGGGUGACAAUCCCGUCUUUGACACGGACUCCCAAGGCUUUGUGGUGCGCUCUCAAAGAGUCGCGUUGUUUGGGAAUGCAGCGCAAAAUGGGUGGUAAAUUCCAUCUAAAGCUAAAUAUUGGCGAGAGACCGAUAGCGAACAAGUACCGUGAGGGAAAGAUGAAAAGAACUUUGGAAAGAGAGUUAAACAGUACGUGAAAUUGCUGAAAGGGAAACGCUUGAAGUCAGUCGCGUCGUCCGGAGAUCAACCUUGCUUUUGCUGGGCGUACUCUCCGGUUGACGGGCCAGCAUCAGUUUUGACCAUUGGAAAAGGGCAGAGGGAAUGUGGCAUCUUCGGAUGUGUUAUAGCCUUCUGUCGUAUACAGUGGUUGGGACUGAGGAACUCAGCACGCCGCAAGGCGGGGAUUCAUCCACCUUCGUGCUUAGGAUGCUGGCAUAAUGGCUUUAAUCGACCCGUCUUGAAACACGGACCAAGGAGUCUAACAUGCCUGCGAGUGUUUGGGUGGAAAACCCGAGCGCGUAAUGAAAGUGAAAGUUGAGAUCCCUGUCGUGGGGAGCAUCGACGCCCGGACCAGACCUUUUGUGACGGAUCUGCGGUAGAGCAUGUAUGUUGGGACCCGAAAGAUGGUGAACUAUGCCUGAAUAGGGUGAAGCCAGAGGAAACUCUGGUGGAGGCUCGUAGCGAUUCUGACGUGCAAAUCGAUCGUCAAAUUUGGGUAUAGGGGCGAAAGACUAAUCGAACCAUCUAGUAGCUGGUUCCU
rnacentral:rRNA from 1 species